UUAUCCAACAAUACAAAGGUUGUGUCAUUCUUUGUAGGAUGAUUGGUUGCAAAAAAAUUAUUCUGCAAAUUUGCUCUUUGUAUCAUAAUAUAAAAUUGCAUGUUACGUUCAAAUAAAUAAAUAAUACUCCGUGAGUAUGGUUACAAGGUUUAUUUGGUUGCUAAAACAAUUGUGAAUAAAGUCAGUCAAAUCUGGUAUCAGCAAGAUGGGGCAGGUGCCCAUUCAACUGCCCAGGUUUCCGCAGAAUUGAGAAGAAUUUUUAAUGAUCGAUGGUUUGGACGUAUGGGCCUCUGGGAUUGGCCAGCAAGAUCACCAGAUCUCACCCCCCUCGAUUUUUAUCUUUGGCCUAGGAUCAAAGAUAUCGUUUAUGCAACUCCAGUCAACACCAAAGAGGAGCUACAGCAUCGUGUGGUACAUGCAUUUCGUACACUCGAUCGAAAUGAAAUCCGAAAGGCUACGACGAGGGGGGUGCGGAACCGAAUCCUGAAAUGUUUGGAAACCAAUGGUCGGCAGUUGCAAUAGUCAUUUUAUUUAUUUAGCUCGACAACUUUGUCACAUUUGCCAAAAAUUUCAAAUAAAUUCAUUAAAGCUU